UACGAGGGGAGCAAGCGUUGUUCGGAUUUACUGGGCGUAAAGGGCGCGUAGGCGGCCACGACAAGUCACUUGUGAAAUCUCCGGGCUUAACUCGGAACGGUCAAGUGAUACUGUCGGGCUAGAGUACAGAAGGGGCAACUGGAAUUCUCGGUGUAGCGGUGAAAUGCGCAGAUAUCAGGAGGAACACCGGUGGCGAAGGCGGGUCUCUGGGCCGAUACUGACGCUGAGGAGCGAAAGUGUGGGGAGCGAACAGG
rnacentral:rRNA from 1 species